rnacentral:rRNA from 1 species
CCACCACCAAAGCAUUUGCUGUACCGCGUUGACGGAGCGAAGCGACGUCAAACCGAUAAAACAGCAGUGUAAAGUGAGCCGCAGGGCGCUUUGCGCGACAGCGCAAAGGCAGGCGGUUUCGCGUAGCGAAAGCGAAUGCUUUGGGGUGGGGUGACUGCGUACCUUUUGUAUAAUGGGUCAGCGACUUAUAUUCUGUAGCAAGGUUAACCGAAUAGGGGAGCCGGAGGGAAACCGAGUCUUAAUUGGGCGUUAAGUUGCAGGGUAUAGACCCGAAACCCGGUGAUCUAGCCAUGGGCAGGUUGAAGGUUGGGUAACACUAACUGGAGGACCGAACCGACUAAUGUUGAAAAAUUAGCGGAUGACCUGUGGCUGGGGGUGAAAGGCCAAUCAAACCGGGAGAUAGCUGGUUCUCCCCGAAAGCUAUUUAGGUAGCGCCUCGUGAAUUCAUCUCCGGGGGUAGAGCACUGUUUCGGCUAGGGGGCCAUCCCGGCUUACCAACCCGAUGCAAACUGCGAAUACCGGAGAAUGUUAUCACGGGAGACACACGGCGGGUGCUAACGUCCGUCGUGAAGAGGGAAACAACCCAGACCGCCAGCUAAGGUCCCAAAGUCAUGGUUAAGUGGGAAACGAUGUGGGAAGGCCCAGACAGCCAGGAUGUUGGCUUAGAAGCAGCCAUCAUUUAAAGAAAGCGUAAUAGCUCACUGGUCGAGUCGGCCUGCGCGGAAGAUGUAACGGGGCUAAACCAUGCACCGAAGCUGCGGCAGCGACGCUUAUGCGUUGUUGGGUAGGGGAGCGUUCUGUAAGCCUGCGAAGGUGGCCUGUGAGGGUUGCUGGAGGUAUCAGAAGUGCGAAUGCUGACAUAAGUAACGAUAAAGCGGGUGAAAAGCCCGCUCGCCGGAAGACCAAGGGUUCCUGUCCAACGUUAAUCGGGGCAGGGUGAGUCGACCCCUAAGGCGAGGCCGAAAGGCGUAGUCGAUGGGAAACGGGUUAAUAUUCCCGUACUUGGUGUUACUGCGAAGGGGGGACGGAGAAGGCUAUGUUGGCCGGGCGACGGUUGUCCCGGUUUAAGCGUGUAGGUGUGUGUUCCAGGUAAAUCCGGUUCACUUUAACACUGAGGCGUGACGACGAGGCACUACGGUGCUGAAGCAACAAAUGCCCUGCUUCCAGGAAAAGCCUCUAAGCAUCAGGUAACAUCAAAUCGUACCCCAAACCGACACAGGUGGUCAGGUAGAGAAUACCAAGGCGCUUGAGAGAACUCGGGUGAAGGAACUAGGCAAAAUGGUGCCGUAACUUCGGGAGAAGGCACGCUGACACGUAGGUGAAGUGAUUUACUCAUGGAGCUGAAGUCAGUCGAAGAUACCAGCUGGCUGCAACUGUUUAUUAAAAACACAGCACUGUGCAAACACGAAAGUGGACGUAUACGGUGUGACGCCUGCCCGGUGCCGGAAGGUUAAUUGAUGGGGUCAGCGCAAGCGAAGCUCCUGAUCGAAGCCCCGGUAAACGGCGGCCGUAACUAUAACGGUCCUAAGGUAGCGAAAUUCCUUGUCGGGUAAGUUCCGACCUGCACGAAUGGCGUAAUGAUGGCCAGGCUGUCUCCACCCGAGACUCAGUGAAAUUGAACUCGCUGUGAAGAUGCAGUGUACCCGCGGCAAGACGGAAAGACCCCGUGAACCUUUACUAUAGCUUGACACUGAACAUUGAGCCUUGAUGUGUAGGAUAGGUGGGAGGCUUUGAAGUGUGGACGCCAGUCUGCAUGGAGCCGACCUUGAAAUACCACCCUUUAAUGUUUGAUGUUCUAACGUGGACCCGUUACCCGGGUUGCGGACAGUGUCUGGUGGGUAGUUUGACUGGGGCGGUCUCCUCCUAAAGAGUAACGGAGGAGCACGAAGGUUGGCUAAUCCUGGUCGGACAUCAGGAGGUUAGUGCAAUGGCAUAAGCCAGCUUGACUGCGAGCGUGACGGCGCGAGCAGGUGCGAAAGCAGGUCAUAGUGAUCCGGUGGUUCUGAAUGGAAGGGCCAUCGCUCAACGGAUAAAAGGUACUCCGGGGAUAACAGGCUGAUACCGCCCAAGAGUUCAUAUCGACGGCGGUGUUUGGCACCUCGAUGUCGGCUCAUCACAUCCUGGGGCUGAAGUAGGUCCCAAGGGUAUGGCUGUUCGCCAUUUAAAGUGGUACGCGAGCUGGGUUUAGAACGUCGUGAGACAGUUCGGUCCCUAUCUGCCGUGGGCGCUGGAGAACUGAGGGGGGCUGCUCCUAGUACGAGAGGACCGGAGUGGACGCAUCACUGGUGUUCGGGUUGUCAUGCCAAUGGCACUGCCCGGUAGCUAAAUGCGGAAGAGAUAAGUGCUGAAAGCAUCUAAGCACGAAACUUGC